UAUUCAACUACAAAAAUAUAUUA
rnacentral:tRNA from 2 species